rnacentral:rRNA from 1 species
CACCGCGGUUAUACGAGAGACCCAAGUUGACAAAUUCCGGCGUAAAGCGUGGUUAGGAAGUAUUUAAACUAAAGUCGAACACCUUCAAAGCUGUUAUACGCAUCCGAAGGCCUGAAGAACAUACACGAAAGUAACUUUACAAACUCUGAAUCCACGAAAGCUAAGAUA